rnacentral:rRNA from 1 species
UCGGGAAUUUUGGGCAAUGGGCGAAAGCCUGACCCAGCAACGCCGCGUGAAGGAUGAAGUAUUUCGGUAUGUAAACUUCGAAAGAAUAGGAAGAAUAAAUGACGGUACCAUUUAUAAGCUCCGGCUAACUACGUGCCAGCAGCCGCGGUAAUACGUAGGGAGCAAGCGUUGUUCGGAUUUACUGGGCGUAAAGGGCGCGUAGGCGGCGCGGUAAGUCACUUGUGAAAUCUCUGAGCUUGACUCAGAACGGCCAAGUGAUACUGCUGUGCUAGAGUGCGGAAGAGGCAACCGGAAUUCUUGGUGUAGCGGUGAAAUGCGUAGAUAUCAAGAGGAACACCUGAGGCGAAGGCGGGUUGCUGGGCCGACACUGACGCUGAUGCGCGAAAGCCAGGGGAGCAAACG